UACGAAGGGUGCAAGCGUUAUUCGGAAUUACUGGGCGUAAAGCGUGCGUAGGUGGUUUGUUAAGUCUGAUGUGAAAUCCCCGGGCUCAACCUGGGAAUGGCAUUGGAUACUGGCAGGCUAGAGUGCGGUAGAGGGUGGUGGAAUUCCCGGUGUAGCAGUGAAAUGCGUAGAGAUCGGGAGGAACAUCUGUGGCGAAGGCGGCCACCUGGACCAGCACUGACACUGAGGCACGAAAGCGUGGGGAGCAAACAGG
rnacentral:rRNA from 1 species